GUUAUUGGGUAUCAAAACCUAAUAGCGAAAUUAACAUAACUUUUAUGGGAUUAGUUUUUAGAUUAUUUAUAGUCUAUUAAUUCAAUCCCGGGGCGUUCUAUAUAGUUAUGUAUAAUAAUAUUUAUAUUAUUUAUACCUCUAACUAGAGCGUACCUUGAGCAUAUAUGCUGUGACCCGAAAGAUGGUGAACUAUACUUGAUCAGGUUGAAGUCAGGGGAAACCCUGAUGGAAGACCGAAACAGUUCUGACGUGCAAAUCGAUUGUCAGAAUUGAGUAUAGGGGCGAAAGACCAAUCGAACCAUCUAGUAGCUGGUUCCCUCCGAAGUUUCCCUCAGGAUAGCUGGUGCAUUUAAAUAUUAUGUAAAAUAAUCUUAUCUGGUAAAGCGAAUGAUUAGAGGCCUUAGGGUCGAAACGACCUUAACCUAUUCUCAAACUUUAAAUGGGUAAGAACCUCACCUUUCUUGGUAUGAAGGUUGUGGUUGUGAUAUAAUGUGCCCAGUGGGCCACUUUUGGUAAGCAGAACUGGCGCUGUGGGAUGAACCAAACGUAAUGUUACGGUGCCCAAAUUAACAACUCAUGCAGAUACCAUGAAAGGCGUUGGUUGCUUAAAACAGCA
rnacentral:rRNA from 1 species